UAAGGGAUAUUGGUCAAUGGACGCAAGUCUGAACCAGCCAUGCCGCGUGAAGGAUGAAGGUCCUCUGGAUUGUAAACUUCUUUUAUCUGGGACGAAAACGGGAUUUUUAUCUCAAUUGACGGUACCAGAGGAAUAAGCACCGGCUAACUCCGUGCCAGCAGCCGCGGUAAUACGGAGGGUGCGAGCGUUAUCCGGAUUUACUGGGUUUAAAGGGUGCGUAGGUGGGCUUAUAAGUCAGUGGUGAAAUCUCCGAGCUUAACUUGGAAACUGCCGUUGAUACUAUAGGUCGUGAAUUAUCUGGAGGUAAGCGGAAUAUGUCAUGUAGCGGUGAAAUGCUUAGAUAUGACAUAGAACACCAAUUGCGAAGGCAGCUUACUACAUAUAAAUUGACGCUGAGGCACGAAAGCGUGGGGAUCAAACA
rnacentral:rRNA from 1 species